GGUUAAGCGACUAAGCGUACACGGUGGAUGCCCUGGCAGUCAGAGGCGAUGAAGGACGUGCUAAUCUGCGAUAAGCGUCGGUAAGGUGAUAUGAACCGUUAUAACCGGCGAUUUCCGAAUGGGGAAACCCAGUGUGAUUCGUCACACUAUCAUUAACUGAAUCCAUAGGUUAAUGAGGCGAACCGGGGGAACUGAAACAUCUAAGUACCCCGAGGAAAAGAAAUCAACCGAGAUUCCCCCAGUAGCGGCGAGCGAACGGGGAGCAGCCCAGAGCCUGAAUCAGUGUGUGUGUUAGUGGAAGCGUCUGGAAAGGCGUGCGAUACAGGGUGACAGCCCCGUACACAAAAAUGCACAUAUUGUGAGCUCGAUGAGUAGGGCGGGACACGUGGUAUCCUGUCUGAAUAUGGGGGGACCAUCCUCCAAGGCUAAAUACUCCUGACUGACCGAUAGUGAACCAGUACCGUGAGGGAAAGGCGAAAAGAACCCCGGCGAGGGGAGUGAAAAAGAACCUGAAACCGUGUACGUACAAGCAGUGGGAGCACGCUUAGGCGUGUGACUGCGUACCUUUUGUAUAAUGGGUCAGCGACUUAUAUUCUGUAGCAAGGUUAACCGAAUAGGGGAGCCGAAGGGAAACCGAGUCUUAACUGGGCGUUAAGUUGCAGGGUAUAGACCCGAAACCCGGUGAUCUAGCCAUGGGCAGGUUGAAGGUUGGGUAACACUAACUGGAGGACCGAACCGACUAAUGUUGAAAAAUUAGCGGAUGACUUGUGGCUGGGGGUGAAAGGCCAAUCAAACCGGGAGAUAGCUGGUUCUCCCCGAAAGCUAUUUAGGUAGCGCCUCGUGAAUUCAUCUCCGGGGGUAGAGCACUGUUUCGGCAAGGGGGUCAUCCCGACUUACCAACCCGAUGCAAACUGCGAAUACCGGAGAAUGUUAUCACGGGAGACACACGGCGGGUGCUAACGUCCGUCGUGAAGAGGGAAACAACCCAGACCGCCAGCUAAGGUCCCAAAGUCAUGGUUAAGUGGGAAACGAUGUGGGAAGGCCCAGACAGCCAGGAUGUUGGCUUAGAAGCAGCCAUCAUUUAAAGAAAGCGUAAUAGCUCACUGGUCGAGUCGGCCUGCGCGGAAGAUGUAACGGGGCUAAACCAUGCACCGAAGCUGCGGCAGCGACACUGUGUGUUGUUGGGUAGGGGAGCGUUCUGUAAGCCUGCGAAGGUGUGCUGUGAGGCAUGCUGGAGGUAUCAGAAGUGCGAAUGCUGACAUAAGUAACGAUAAAGCGGGUGAAAAGCCCGCUCGCCGGAAGACCAAGGGUUCCUGUCCAACGUUAAUCGGGGCAGGGUGAGUCGACCCCUAAGGCGAGGCCGAAAGGCGUAGUCGAUGGGAAACAGGUUAAUAUUCCUGUACUUGGUGUUACUGCGAAGGGGGGACGGAGAAGGCUAUGUUGGCCGGGCGACGGUUGUCCCGGUUUAAGCGUGUAGGCUGGUUUUCCAGGCAAAUCCGGAAAAUCAAGGCUGAGGCGUGAUGACGAGGCACUACGGUGCUGAAGCAACAAAUGCCCUGCUUCCAGGAAAAGCCUCUAAGCAUCAGGUAACAUCAAAUCGUACCCCAAACCGACACAGGUGGUCAGGUAGAGAAUACCAAGGCGCUUGAGAGAACUCGGGUGAAGGAACUAGGCAAAAUGGUGCCGUAACUUCGGGAGAAGGCACGCUGAUAUGUAGGUGAAGUCCCUCGCGGAUGGAGCUGAAAUCAGUCGAAGAUACCAGCUGGCUGCAACUGUUUAUUAAAAACACAGCACUGUGCAAACACGAAAGUGGACGUAUACGGUGUGACGCCUGCCCGGUGCCGGAAGGUUAAUUGAUGGGGUCAGCGCAAGCGAAGCUCUUGAUCGAAGCCCCGGUAAACGGCGGCCGUAACUAUAACGGUCCUAAGGUAGCGAAAUUCCUUGUCGGGUAAGUUCCGACCUGCACGAAUGGCGUAAUGAUGGCCAGGCUGUCUCCACCCGAGACUCAGUGAAAUUGAACUCGCUGUGAAGAUGCAGUGUACCCGCGGCAAGACGGAAAGACCCCGUGAACCUUUACUAUAGCUUGACACUGAACAUUGAGCCUUGAUGUGUAGGAUAGGUGGGAGGCUUUGAAGUGUGGACGCCAGUCUGCAUGGAGCCGACCUUGAAAUACCACCCUUUAAUGUUUGAUGUUCUAACGUGGACCCGUAAUCCGGGUUGCGGACAGUGUCUGGUGGGUAGUUUGACUGGGGCGGUCUCCUCCUAAAGAGUAACGGAGGAGCACGAAGGUUGGCUAAUCCUGGUCGGACAUCAGGAGGUUAGUGCAAUGGCAUAAGCCAGCUUGACUGCGAGCGUGACGGCGCGAGCAGGUGCGAAAGCAGGUCAUAGUGAUCCGGUGGUUCUGAAUGGAAGGGCCAUCGCUCAACGGAUAAAAGGUACUCCGGGGAUAACAGGCUGAUACCGCCCAAGAGUUCAUAUCGACGGCGGUGUUUGGCACCUCGAUGUCGGCUCAUCACAUCCUGGGGCUGAAGUAGGUCCCAAGGGUAUGGCUGUUCGCCAUUUAAAGUGGUACGCGAGCUGGGUUUAGAACGUCGUGAGACAGUUCGGUCCCUAUCUGCCGUGGGCGCUGGAGAACUGAGGGGGGCUGCUCCUAGUACGAGAGGACCGGAGUGGACGCAUCACUGGUGUUCGGGUUGUCAUGCCAAUGGCACUGCCCGGUAGCUAAAUGCGGAAGAGAUAAGUGCUGAAAGCAUCUAAGCACGAAACUUGCCCCGAGAUGAGUUCUCCCUGACUCCUUGAGAGUCCUGAAGGAACGUUGAAGACGACGACGUUGAUAGGCCGGGUGUGUAAGCGCAGCGAUGCGUUGAGCUAACCGGUACUAAUGAACCGUGAGGCUUAACCUU
rnacentral:rRNA from 1 species